rnacentral:lncRNA from 1 species
CGCAAGGAGGCAGAGCGGCACCUGUCCUGCCAAGGGCAGGGUCAGUGAGAGACGGAAACCGUGUCCAGCAGAGGUGACUGCCUGGGGAGAAAGGAUCGAACUCGAGAACUUAUGCUUGCGAGGCAGGGGGCAGAACCACCGAGCUAAAUCCCCGGCCCAACUAAUAUCUUUUGGAUCAAAUUCAGGACCUCACACUUGCCAUGCAGGUGCUGUGCUGCUGAGCUACUUCCCUGGCCCACCACCUAAUUUUGUUUGAUGUCUACAACUUUUUGGAGCCACUGUUCACCAAUAUUCUACUUUUAAUUUUUGGCCUCUGCUUCUU